rnacentral:rRNA from 1 species
GAGUUUGAUCCUGGCUCAGAUUGAACGCUGGCGGCAUGCCUUACACAUGCAAGUCGAGCGGCAGCGCGGGGGCAACCCUGGCGGCGAGCGGCGAACGGGUGAGUAAUACAUCGGAACGUGUCCUGUCGUGGGGGAUAACCAGUCGAAAGAUUGGCUAAUACCGCAUGACCUCGUAAGAGAAAAGCGGGGGAUCGCAAGACCUCGCGCGAUUGGAGCGGCCGAUGUCGGAUUAGCUAGUUGGCGGGGUAAAAGCCCACCAAGGCGACGAUCCGUAGCUGGUUUGAGAGAACGACCAGCCACACUGGGACUGAGACACGGCCCAGACUCCUACGGGAGGCAGCAGUGGGGAAUUUUGGACAAUGGGGGCAACCCUGAUCCAGCCAUGCCGCGUGUGUGAAGAAGGCCUUCGGUUGUAAG